GAUGAAGAACGUAGCGAAAUGCGAUAAGUAAUGUGAAUUGCAGAAUUCAGUGAAUCAUCGAAUCUUUGAACGCACAUUGCGCCCGCCAGUAUUCUGGCGGGCAUGCCUGUUCGAGCGUCAUUUCAACCCUCAAGCCCUCGGGUUUGGUGUUGGGGAUCGGCGAGCCUUUCUGGCAAGCCGGCGCCGAAAUCUAGUGGCGGUCUCGCUGCAGCCUCCAUUGCGUAGUAGUAAAACCCUCGCAACUGGAACGCGGCGCGGCCAAGCCGUUAAACCCCCAACUUCUGAAUGUUGACCUCGGAUCAGGUAGGAAUACCCGCUGAACUUAAGCAUAUCAAUAAGCGGAGGA
rnacentral:misc_RNA from 1 species